CAGAGCCCGACUCCUCGAGAAAAAAUUGAUUUAUUUACAAACAGCAAUAGAUCCAAAUAGACUUACAACAUAAGAUCCAAAUAGAAAAGCGAACACUAUCGUUGGGUUAAAACAGUAAAUGUAGUAUAAAGAACCUGUAGCUAACAACAUGAUGGUCACUUAUCUAAACAAGAAACAUAAAAGACGGCACAUUAUUUGGAAGCAGGAUCAGUAUCUUCUUCCGACCACAGGACAAAUCAUGAGGUACCUAAAACUAUUAAAAGUACUGCCGCUAAAGAAAAAAAAUAAAGAGAUAAUACUCUUAACCGGUUCCACUGUGUUUCAUGAUAGGUUCAAAUUACAACAUUCUUAACCGGUUCCACGAGGUUUCCUGAUAAAAUCAAAAUGAAGGAAUAGUAUUUGUAUAUGUGAGAGG
rnacentral:lncRNA from 1 species